AUGGGUGUCUUGUAUUACAAAUAUAAGAGUGCAAAGGAAACUUACCCUGUGACGUUGCCCUACUCGUUUAUAUCCGUGCCUGAUCUCAAGCAGCUCAUCUUGUCGAGUAACCGGCACGGCACUGGCCGUAGCCGCGGCCGCGGCCCCCGCGAGGAUAUCGCCCUCUCCAACGCCCAGACCGGCGAAGAAUACGCAGAGGAUGCAAUGAUACCACAGAACGUAACUGUGCUUGUCCGCCGAACUGCCGGGCAAGAGUCGGAGAAUAUCGUCGUGGUCUCCUCGCGGAAAGUAAUAGAAGAUGGUUCUAUAGCUUCAAACAGAUCAGUGGUUACUGAAUCAGUCUCAAAAUCUUGUUCCUCCGCAGAAGUGAAAGAUGAAGAUGCUGCAAUCGCAGCUGUGAUUGAUGCGGCUGAGCUUAAAUGGGAAGAGCAGUCAUUUAAGAGAGGACAAGCUCCUGGAAGGUUUACAUCAGGACGCCAUAAUGGCCAUGGAUCAUCAGAGAGGGAGGCACCUCCACCCGGCUAUGUGUGCCGCAGCUGCGGGGUUGCAGGCCAUUUCAUUCAACAUUGCCCACAGGAAAACCAGACGCCUCCACCUGGCUAUACCUGCUACAGAUGCCGGAUUCCAGGGCAUUUUAUUCAGCAUUGCCCAACCAUUGGCGAUUCCAAAUUUGACAACUACAAAAUGUCUCGUCCAGUUGCCCCGGUCGUAUCUCCAAAUCCGGCUGAUGACAUUCUAUCUGCACUUGCCCCAGCUGCAUCUGCGAGUGUAGUUGAUGACUUGCCAGCAGAACUCCACUGCCAACUAUGUAAUAAGGUGAUGGCAGAUGCGGUGUUAACAAGCAAGUGCUGCUUUGUCAGUUUCUGUGAUAAAUGUAUUCGAGAUUACAUUAUUACACAAUCGAAGUGCAUUUGUGGAGUCAAGGUCCUUGCAGAUUCCCUCAUCCCCAACCCCACAGUUAGGAGCACAAUCAGCAAUUUGUUAGGUACAAGGACUUGCAGCACUGCCAGCGGUACAGGGAAGCACAGAAGUUCUUCAGGAAGCAACCCUGAUCCCAAAUCACAGAGCCACACCACCUCGGCUGCUUUGGAAAGGGACACAAAGCAAUGUAUGGACAACCAGCUAUCGGCAGCUUCUCCCGACGCCCGCCUCCAGGUCGCCACAGAAGGUGAUCAAGUUGACCGCCCUCAGAAGAAUUCUGAUCUGAAGAGCAACACUGAAGGCUCUGCAGGGCGUUCAGUAGAGAAAGCCGUACCUGGUGCUGACCUCCCCAAACUGAAGGAUGUGAGCGAAUCAACUUUAAAGAACGGUACUAUUUCAGGGAGCUUGGAACCAAAAGUUGCUAGGCCUGAUCAGUUGAAGAAGAAGCGGAAGAAGGCAGACUCAUCUAAGGCUGUUCAUCCAAACAAUGCUGACUAUGGUUACAACGUUCCAUUUGACCCUGCAUAUUGUAACCCUUUCAAUGGUGCAUAUCCCAUGGGUCCAUUUGGUGUACCUGAUCCAUACAUGUACGGCUCAAUGGGCAUGCCCUAUGGUGGUUUCCCGAUGGGUCCAUUUGGUAUGAAUCCCUACGGCAAUAUUCCGCCGCAGGCUCUUGCCAUGCAAGGCUAUCCGCCAAACUAUCAAAGCUGGGAAAACCAGGCCGCGCUACACCGUGAUGCCGAAGCUGCUGCACGCUCAAGGCAGGUCUCCCAGGGGAACGCUGAAGCUGCUGCACGUUCAAGGCAGACCGAGAGGCCAAAUGACUCCGGUGCUUGGCCCAGGCCAUCAGAUCGCAACCAGCGCAUGGGCUCUCCUCAAGGCAGAGAGUUGAGGGACAGGCCCCAGUCAAGACCUGAACCAUCAGAGCGCAACCAGCGUUUGGGUUCUCCUCGCGGCAGAGAGUCCAGAGACAGGUCCCGGUCUAGAUCUAAACCAUCAGAGCGCAGCCAGCGCUCGGUUUCUCCUCGCCGCAGAGAGUCGAGGGACAGGUCCCGGUCAAGACCGGCAAGGAGUAGUAGGGACCAUGGGCGUUCCGACAGAGGUUCCAGUGACUACCACGAGGAUCACCAUGACAGGAAGAGAAUGCGUGUCUCUUCUACCGUUGAUGGUGAUACAGAGAGCAGCCAGAGGUCCAGACACAGUUCUAGGAGCAGCCUCAGGCGCGACGACGCAAGCGACGAUGAGCAGAAUUUCAAGAGGAAGUGGGGACGAUGA
rnacentral:rRNA from 1 species